rnacentral:rRNA from 1 species
GAUGAACGCUGGCGGCGUGCCUAAUACAUGCAAGUCGAGCGGACCAAAGAGAGCUUGCUCUCUGAGGUUAGCGGCGGACGGGUGAGUAACACGUGGGUAACCUGCCUGUAAGACGGGGAUAACUUCGGGAAACCGAAGCUAAUACCGGAUGAUAAAGAGAAACGCCUGUUUCUUUUUUGAAAGUCGGCCUUGUGCUGACGCUGACAGAUGGGCCCGCGGCGCAUUAGCCAGUUGGUGUGGUAACGGCUCACCAAGGCGACGAUGCGUAGCCGACCUGAGAGGGUGAUCGGCCACACUGGGACUGAGACACGGCCCAGACUCCUACGGGAGGCAGCAGUAGGGAAUCUUCGGCAAUGGACGAAAGUCUGACCGAGCAACGCCGCGUGAGCGAUGAAGGCCUUCGGGUCGUAAAGCUCUGUUGUCAGAGAAGAACAAGUACCGGAGUAACUGCCGGUACCUUGACGGUACCUGACCAGAAAGCCACGGCUAACUACGUGCCAGCCGCCGCAGUAA